GGGAUUUUUUGUCAACAGGAAAAGAAGUUGGAAGAAGAGGAUGAAGCACUCAUAAAAUCAUUAUUUGGAGCACCAAGAGAGGUCGUUCGCAGGAUCGAUGAUGAUAUUCUUGAUGAUGAUGAAGAUUUAUCUCAGAUUUCAACUGACAAUGCUGAAACAUCAAAAAA